AUUUUGCUCUUUUGAGCUGUAUUGUGUGGAGUGGACAAAGCCACCAUGCUGUGAUGUGAAGGGACAAUGAUGGCGGUACAUAGUCAUGGUUCAGCGUCAGCCUAGGGUCAAGUGAGUGACGUGGAUUUUAGCUUGUGAUUAUGAACUCCACUGUGCACGCAUGACGGUCGUCACUUUCACGUCAUAUGAUACGAGUGCUUGUCUUGAGGAGGCUCUUCUUCUCUCGUAUUAUGCAACAGACAAUUCACCAUGUUCUAUCAAUGAGUGUUGGGCAGCACUCUGUUCUUUGUAGUGGUGUGCCGGGGAGGCAGCACCAAGGCGGGGGAGGCAGGCAGGAUUAACAUACUGGUGAGAAAGGCUGCCUCUGUUGUGUGGCUGAACAUGGACAGCCUGAAGGCAUAGGCAGAGGGAGGAUGACGACCAAAUUGAACUCUGUCUUCAACAACACCUCCCACCCUUCUGUGAACUGAUGCAGAGACCCCCUUUCAGCCUCCACCCCCGUCCUGCAAGGUGCCUUGCAGAGCACCUUUGAGUGUUCCUUUGUGCUGUCAGACUUUACAGCACUCCCUCAUCUUCCUUCCAGUCUCGACUCACUAGUUGUUUUUGAAGAACAACAUCUGCAUGACAGCAUCUAUACAAACUGCCCUGGACUGCUUCUGUGGGUUCAUCUGCAUGCUAUCUUAACUGCACAUACAUAUGCAGAUCACUGCGACCUCACUUGAAGCAGAGGGAAACAGGUAACAUAGCUUCGCCUGAAGUCAAUGGAACAAGGAACAAUAUUUUACCUGUGGCUUAUUUAACCACCAGGACAUGUGGUUCAUUGUUGCAGGGAGACUCAGAGGGUGAAAUCACGGCCUGUUUUGUCAUCAUUAGUCAUGAGGCCCAACUGCUGGUGUGUAACUAUGGAUGAGUAAGCUUUGUAGAACAACAACAACAAAAACUACAGACGGCAUAGUAGGCCUACCCACACUUCAGCACUGUUUGUUCUGUAUUGUUUCCAAUCCAAUAACUUAGAGCUAAUUAUGAGUGAAUGUGUGUCUCUGAUUCACUUGAAACCACAAGUUCAAUCUGCAUUAUUCUCAUGAGUCAAUUACAGAUAAGACACAUGACAUUUCCAGAAAGACUGGCUCCGCACUAAAACACCCUUAAGUGCUUUAUUACUUUUUCUUGUUCUGAUAAGAACAGAAUCAUUUUCAUUUCAGGGAAGGCUGUCAAGUUGGAGUGCCCAGGUAACUUUAGCACUGAAUUAAAGAAAAAGAAAAAAACCUAGUGGAAACUUCAGAGUUAAUAAAUGAUCAGGUUUACAUGAAAAGUUCUAUUGUAAUGAAAAACAAUAAAAGUGGGCCUU